GGAAAAGAAACCAUGGGAGAAAACCAGAGCCUGGGCAAACGAACAUGCAAGUGGAGACAUAGUGUUUUCUAGGACAACAAAACACUUUAGUUUGGCUAGAGCUAAGAGUGUGGUAGGUAGACAAAAUUAGAAUCAGAUUGUAGAAGGUCUUGGAUGCCAGGUUAAUGAUUUUGAACUUUAUAUUUUUUAUUUUCCUUUGUUCAAAUCCCCUGUGAUAAGUUGUUUUAUUUUGUUUAGAGUGGGUAUCAGGCAGAUUUCUGGGUGAGGCCCAGAGGAGCAUUUUUAUUCAUCCAUCCAUUCAACAAGGGACUAUGUCUUAUCCAACUUGUAUCCCUAGAGUAUAACACAACAUCUGCAUAUAAGACAGAAAGUAAGUGCUUGUUAAAAUUAAGCAUUUUGGCCGGGUGUGAUGGGUGUGAGCCCCUGCGCCCAGCUGGCAUCCUGCUUUUGAGCAGGAGGUGGCCCAG
rnacentral:lncRNA from 1 species